GGGGUUUAAUUUGUAAAUUAGGGUUUGGGGUUUGAACAUUUCUUGUUACUAUUUUUUGUGUCGAGUUGUUUGGAAUCAAGAAUCGUUGGUGGUGGUAAAAGUUGGACGGAGAGUUGAAUCCUCGUCUUAUUGAGGAUGUCGAUCCGGUUGGAGGAGGACUGUUUCGCUUAAUCCAAAGUCGGAUUCGUGGUCACCGGCAAAAUCUAGAUAGGGUUAGUGUUUGGAGUUUGAGAUUUUGAGUAGUGGUUCGCCGGAGAAGAAGGUAGCGUCGCCGCCGUUGGCCGGCAACCACCGUCUUCUCCGAUAGGUGGUGACCAGGAGUGAUGGUGGGAUAUGAAGAGCAUGUGUUUGCUCUGAGAGGAAGAGAGAGAAGAUUUUGACGAAAGUGGCAUUUUUUUUUGUUAUUUGUUUUAACAAAGGAUUAAGUGGCAAGGGUUUGGGGCGAGUGGCGGUGAGAAGUGUCACCGACUUUGGACACUUGUCACCGGUGAGCAUAGGGAGAACCUUUUGUUCCCAUGCACGAGGGUGCGUUGUGCUAUGGUGCGACCCUCCUUGGCGUUUCUCUGUUUCGAAGACCAAGUCAGAUCUACAGAUCUGACAGUCCGGAGAACACCCCUUGGUCAACACGGUUGACCGGGUCUGCUUGGACCCUUACGUGAAAUGAAUUGGGCCGUUUCUUUUAAGCCCAUUUAUUUUAUUCAUUUCAUUCUGUCUCUCUAUCAGCACCCCCCCCCCCCGGGUUGGAUCAGCAACACCCACUUGGGCUUGGCCUUUACCUAGGGCCCAAUUGUUUUUUUUCUUUUUCUUUUUCUUUAUCCUCUUUUAGCCCAUUUUUAGUUGUUUGCUUAAUUCAAAUAGAGUUUUUAUCCACCAAUUACGUUCCUAUUAUCAUUAUUACUAAUAUCUAAGUUAAUUUUAUAAUUUACCAUUAUUUAAUUAGUUAAUCUUAUUAUUUUUACCAUCCUUUAUUAUUUGGAUAUAAUUUAGGUAAUUACUCAUUGUGUGAAGUUUGUGUACAAUAUUAUUUUGUGUUUAUCAAUUCAUUUGUACAAAUUCUUGAGUACACAUGUAUGGUGUGCUACAAUUGUGACAAGUUAUUUCAAUUUCACCUAUUUAAAAAACAUUCCACUCAAUUUCAAGGAUAAACCAUAAACAUCUCGAUUCAAAGUUGAGCCCAUUUUAAAUACCUUUGUAAGUCGAUCGCUUUUAAAACAUCGCCAUCAACCUCACAUAGCUUACUCUUGGGCUUUCUUACAAUGAUACCUAUUCAAUUUUUAUUUAAUCGAGUAGAAGAACAAUACACUAAAUAAAUUCAUUUCAUUCACAAAGCACCAAAUUAAAACUCGAUCCAAUGUCGAGUAUUUUCACUCAGAAUUAAAUUAACGUAUCCAAUCGCAAUCAAGUACCAUUUCAUUUGGAAAUGAAAAGGGGGAUGACUUUGAGUUUUCAAUUCUUCUCCUCGAUUAUUUGAAUACGAGUUCCCUUACUCGGUUAGUCAAAUAGUCGUCGCUUCUAUCCACCUAAGCACAAACAAAUUGAAUCAUUCUUAUAAUAAGAAACGAAAAGGGAGAUGACUUUGAGUCUUCAAUUUUUCUCCUCGAUUAUUUGAAUACAAGUUCUCUUACUUGGUUAGUCAAAUAAUUGUCGUUCCUCUACAAACUUCCAAACCCCGAAACGAAAAGGGAGAUGACUUUGAGUCUUCAAUUUUUCUCCUCGAUUAUUUGAAUACAAGUUCUCUUACUUGGUUAGUCAAAUAAUUGUCGUUCCUCUACAAACUUCCAAACCCCGAUUAAAUCAAAACCCUUUCAUAAUAAGCUAAAUGAAAAAGGAGAUGACUUUUAGUCUUCAACUUCUCUCCUCAAUUGGUUGAAUACGAGUUCUCUUACUCGGUCAGUCGAACAAUUGUCAUUUUUCCACAAACAUAUAACUUAAUCAAAUCAUUUUCAUAAAAAACUGUACGAAAAGGGAGAUGGUCUUGAGUUUUCAAAUCCUCUUCUCAAAUGCUUGGAUAUGAGUUGUCUUACUCGGUCAUUCAAGUACUUGUCGUUCAUUCUAAAAUACAUCAACCAUACACCACCUUAUUUUCAUAACUACUCAGAUGAAACAAAAAGUGGUCUAGAGUCUUCUAUUCCCUUUCCCGACUAUUAGGAUACGAGUUGUCUUACUCGACUAUCCGAGUAAUCGUCAUCCAUUCAAAACACCUUAAUUAUCAUUAAAUUCUUUUUAUAAUUAAGGAUGAAAAAGAAAGUGGUCUAGAGUCUUCUAUUCCCUUUCCCGAAUAUUAGGAUACGAGUUGUCUUACUCGACUAUCCGAGUAAUCGUCAUCCAUUCAAAACACCUUAAUUAUCAUUAAAAUCUUUUUAUAAUUAAGGAUGAAAAAGAAAGAGUUAUAGAGUCUUCUAUUCCCUUUCAUGGUUAUUAGGAUACGACUUGUCUUACUCGGCUAUCCAAGUAAUCAUCAUCCAACCAAAAAUAUCUCAACACAUCAAAUAUAUCCUUUUCUUUCCCUAAUGAGAUCGAAACCAAUCAAAACAUCCAACACGUCAAUUCAAUUCGUCACCCCUCGCGUGACCGAAACCUUUCUUUCAAAAAGAACACUAUCAAUCCUUUCUAAUUCGCACAAUAAACUAGUGCUAGAGCCUCCACCGAGAGUAGACAAGCCAACGUUUAGCCUUUAGAACGCCGACCUACAUAGUCGUUCAUCAAACAAAACACCAAUUAUUCGUAGUAGCCCGAACUACGAAUGCUUUGAUUUCCUUAUUGCACCAUAAGUAUAUGUAGGAAGGAGAUUGCAGUAUCUUCGCGAGCACACUAAUAAAAAACCUCGAUUUUCCCCCUUCUGUGGUCUUCAUCCAUAUUUAUUAUCAACAUUAAUUACUCGAAUAAAACAAACAAACAUUCAGCUAACACUCAAAUCAUAAAAUUAAACUAAAAGGUACCCGUUGAGUACAACGGACAUGAGGGGUGCUAGUACCUUCCCCUUGCGUAAUCCACUCCCGAACCCGAGUAUGGUUGCGACGACCAUUAUUCCAUUUUCUUAAAGGUUUUCACGAUAAAUUCCUAUUCCUUCAUUGGAAUGAAUAAAGUUCGGUGGCGACUCUGUUCGAACUAAACAUUUUUCCGAAUUCCAUCGCGAGGGAUCGCAUUUUUUUGAGGUGCGACAGACUGACGACUCUGCUGGGGACCCAUGCUCCAAGCAAGAGAGAGUGAAGCGUAGCUUAGUUUAAUUUUUGUAUUGAAUGCUAAUCUUGUUUGUUUGUUUUUUAUUUUUAUUCUGUUAUUAUUUUGUUGUAAUUAUUGUGUUGUGGUUUAUUUCCUGUGACACUAUUGGGGUUCUCUGAUUAUUGGUACUAUGUGAGAUAGGCUCUCUACCCGAGUCUGAGAAAAAAUAUAAGUUUAAGUUGGUGGUUGCAUAGUGAACGCCCACAAGGAGUCUUCCUUGUUGGGAAGAUACGAAGACCCCGCCUAGAGGAGAUUCUCUUGAGAUAUUAUUGUCCGACGAGCCUUCGUCACGGUGAUGGUGUUUCAAGUUGGAUCAAUGACUCUAGGGACCUUUUAACCCAUUAUAUCCGGAGGCUAUGUAGUAUUAACCUACGAAGUUUCAUACUUGUGGGGUUAAUACGAAAACCCCAAUCAGAUGAGAUCCCUUGUGUAGCGGGGUAUUCGUUACCUUUAGAUUUAUUAACUAAAUCAAAAGUAAAUCAUACAAUUCGAGUCGCCACCGCAUUUCUAUUUAUCCAAAGGAAAGGUUAGAAAGAGAACAAAAACCGAGAAGUUUUAUCGAAUCAAAAACUAAUAAAAAUGUCAGAGAUCGGGGUAAGGGGGUUGGUUAUGCAAUGGGAAGGUUUUAAGCAAGUUAGAAAGAGAACAAAAACCGAGAAGUUUUAUCGAAUCAAAAACUAAUAAAAAUGUCAGAGAUCGGGGUAAGGGGGUUGGUUAUGCAAUGGGAAGGUUUUAAGCACCCAAAACAUCCUAGGUACUCUUAUGAAGCCCUUUUCACAAUUUGUUGUAAGGUAGGUUGGUAUUUGUGAAAAUUAUUUGUGCAAACAUGAUUGGGGAGAUGAGAGAAGAAUAUACAAGUUAUUUACAAUUUUCUGUUUGAAUGGAUAAACCCACUGCCUACGUACCAUCUUAAAAAGAUUAGGAUCAAAACCUCAUAGUUCGGGGUAAAAAUCUCAAAAGAAGUUGGUGAAUUGAUUGGUCUAAAAGCCUUAAGGUAUUUUGUUAUCCAAGGGAGAAAACUCAACCUAAAGCCACAAAUCCACCAUGUGAGGAUAGCUUCAACAUGCUAGUGAGGGGUUAACUCUGUAAUAAGCAUGGAAGACUCAUUGUCCAUCACUAAGGAUAUAGGUGAGUAUUAUAUCUACCUCAAGGAUAACUCAAACCUAAUAGCUAAUGGUUAUGAAAUUUUUUGAUAAGAAAGUGUUCAUUGAAACCAUAAAACAUUUGAGUGAGUUAUAUUUACCAAUGAAAAGUAUUUAUAAAAUAUGGUCAAAGUUGACUUAAAGAUUUAAUUCAAAAUAAGUGUUAUGAAAAGAAGUUUGAAAAUCAAAAGCAUAAUGCUUAGGUUUCUAAUGUUUGAAAAGAAAUGUUAAUGUUUGCACAAAAGUUUUGGCUUUGGUUAGAGUGGAGGGAAGAAGAAGAAUGGCUAAGUCCUAAACAUACAAGAGAUGAAGGAAAAGAAAUAAGACCGCAAAUGGAGUUCCCUUCUUGAGAUCAUAUUGAUGAUCCAAGUAGCUCUCAUCCUUUGGAAUAAGCAAGAAAAUAAGCAAAUACUCAAGCAAUCAAUCAAUCAAGCAAGCUCUUAGGAAUCCUCCAAUGGCUUUUGUAUCUCUCACUUUAGAAGCUCGUGACAAUGGUUCUUCACUUAGGCUCAAAGUUGGAAUCCCUAGCACAAGAACACACACAUCAAAAAGUUCUAUAAUGCAAACAAAGAAUGGACAAGAGGGAUUUUAGAGAGUAGGUCCUUUUAAUCACUUAAGCAUUCUAAAGGCAGGAGGCCUAGUUGCUCUUUGACUUUUAUAGCACUCUAAAGGAAUGAGGCCUAGUUUCUCUUUGACUCCAUUUUUGCAUAGGAAAUGUCCUAAAGUCUAAGUCCUUUUAUCCAUUUGCAAUUGGUUCACAACAAUCAAAACAAAACACAAGCACAAUAAUAUAUAAACAAUUAUGUGCUCAAGUGAGCAAAAGGCAAAUUGCAUUAACAUAAACAUGUGCUCAAAUGAGCAAAGGGCAAAAUCAAAUGAAUAAUAUGUACAAGAAUAUUAAAUUGCAUAAAUGUAAAGUGCAGAAAUUAAAUGUUAAUGGUCAAUAGUUAGAGUUAAUGUGCCAUAAGGCAAUUUAGCGUUAUGUUAAGCAAUCGUAAGUGGACUAAUGUAGUAGUCACACCUAUUUGAGACCGGUCAAUAAAAAUAUAGGCAACAACACAAGUUAGAGAUCUUGAUUAGUGAAUCAAGCUCCUACAACUUGCCAUGCCAAAAGAAGAUGAGAAAUGAUUUUGUAUUAAUUUAGGUUCUUUGUUUGAUUAGGAAGCAACCUAUCCUUAAUGCAAAGCCAUUCACUUGAUCUAUGAUCAAGAUGAAUUAGAUUUGAAUCAAGGAAGGUUAAACCUCCCAUUCAUCAAGGCUAACCACCAAUCUUUAACUCAAGGUCAAACUUCAAAUCCAUUUCAAAUCAACUUUGAAAAGUCCAAAUGGAUCAUCCUAAGUUCAACAAGGUCAAACAAAGUUUGACAAAAAAUUUCAGCAUUUUUAAAAACCAGAAACUAUUUUUAAUCAAUUAAAAAUGUAUAAAAAUAACCUAAUUGAAUUAAAAUCUCAAAUAAAUCUCAAAUCAAUUAAUAAAUUGAUGAGAAUAUUUUUCAUGGAUCCAUCAUCAUUCAAAGAGGUUAAGAAAAUAUUUUUGUAUUUUUUUUAAUAUCAAAAACUAUUUAAAAUGAAUUAAAAACAACCAGAAAAGAUAAAAUUCAUAAAAAAUAUCAAAUGAUAAAAUAAAAAAUAUUAAAAUUCAUUUUUAGAAACUAGAAAUUAAAAGAGAAAUAAUGCAAUUGGUCUCACAUUUUUUGGACUAAUAAUGAAUGAGAUAUGAUUUUUUGAAAUGAAAAUGGAAUAAAAGAAAUAAAAUGAAAAUUGAAAUAAAAAAUAAAAAUGGAAAAAACGUGAGGCGUAGGAUCUAAGCUCAUUAAUUGAGCUGGAAAAUCAGAUUUGGAUCACAUGCGCGCAUCCACCAAACACUUAAGUCAACUGAGCAACAUGUGGCAUUAAAAAAGUCAUAAGAAAGAAGGAUCCAGAUUAGAUCUGGAAAAUGCAUCGUGUGGCCAUGAUUUGAUCUGGAAUUGGGACGGUGGUGUACACCACCGUCUUCUCCGGCGAGACCUCCAACGCCGGUGAGAGUUGCAGACAUGGCAACCUCAACCAAAUGCCACGAUCUAUACAACAAUGGAAAGCUGGGGUGAUGUACAUCACCCCUGUGCCAUCUAUUUUCGCUCUAGGAUUCCAUGGUAAAAGAAAUCAGAGGUUGAAAAUUAUGAUGUUCAACUGAAACUUAAUGGAUUUUCAAAAUUCAAAGCAUCAAUCAGAUGUACAUCACCCCUGUGCCAUCUAUUUUCGCUCUAGGAUUCCAUGGUAAAAGAAAUCAGAGGUUGAAAAUUAUGAUGUUCAACUGAAACUUAAUGGAUUUUCAAAAUUCAAAGCAUCAAUCAAUUUCCUCUGAUGAGAGGACUUCAUCCAACCCAAUAAAUGCAAGAAACAAGUUAUAAAUAAAGAGAUUCGAAGAAGGAAAGUUUGAGCAUCCGCCUUUGAAAUAUGGAUCUGAAAGGCACGAAUUCUCUUAGAUGUUGCUUGCAGUAUGAUCUCAGGAUGAAGAUGAAGCAAGGUCAAGGAACUAUGAGUAUGAAAAUCAACCAAUGAAGUUGAAAUUCUGAUCUGAAAAUUUGAAAAGAAAGAGAGAGUUCCUUUAAGUGAGGCUAUAGAGGGAUUCUUCCAGCAUAACAGGCGUCUUCAGGUUAUCUAAAUGUGAAGCCUAGCACUCCUAUAUAUAGCAAUUGGCAAGGCAAAUGCAUGAACGAAGUGUGUGCAUGGAUGAAGAGGGCCUCCAUGCAUGGGCCUGUACAGGCGCAUGGAGGGCCCAAUUCCAAUUAGAAAUGAAUGCUGAUACCACAUUUGAGUGAAGUGGACGUGCAGAAAUGAUGCAAUCAGCUUGUGCCAUGAGUUUUCAAUAAGUUUCCAAAAAUGCACUAAAAUAUUAUCUUCUUCAAAAAUGAUGCUUCCAAAAAUAAAACAUAGCCUUAUGGGUAAUGGUUGGAAAGGUCUUGACAUGAGAAUCAAUUGUUAUGUUGAACAAAACUUCAUUUUGAAUUGGGAAAUUAAUGAAAAUUGAUCAUGAAGUUGUAGAUAUUUUCAAGACACUCAAUUUGGACUCAAAUUUUGGAUCAUUUGGAUUUUUGAUUAGAAUAUUUUGGGCACUUGAAGUUGGACUUUUUCACAUUUCAAUGCUUUUGGUCCAAAAUGACCUAUAAUGUUUUGCAUUAUCACAUGUAUUUAUUUUAGGAUUUUGAAAAUUUGUUCAACAUAAAAAAUGAAGUACACAUCUUAAAAUUUCCAAUGCACUUGAUCCCACCUCAAAAUCAUGAAAACUGAAUGAGUUAUGUUCUUGGGAAUUUGACCCAAAAUUAGGGUUUCAAUCAAAAUGACCUAUAACGUUUUGAAAUGGAUGAUGACCUUCUAAGCUUCAAAUAAAUUUUUGAUGAACGUGAAAGUUGUUCAUAUGGUUCUUAAGAACAUUUUUUCUCUUGGGGUCAUAUCCAUUUGACAAACAAAUUAAACGUUAGGUCUCAGUGUACUUCAAAAUAGUCAGAUGAAUUGACUGAUCAACUUCUCAAGUCCAUGCCUCAAAUCUUGAUGAAUUGAUGAUUGAGUGUAGCGGGGUAUUCGUUACCAUUAGAGAUAUUGACUAAAUCCAAGGUAAACCAUACAAGUCGAGUCGCCACCGCACUUCUAUUUAUCCAAAGGAAUGGUUAGAAAGCGAACAAAAACCAAAAAGUUAUUGACUAAAUCCAAGGUAAACCAUACAAGUCGAGUCGCCACCGCACUUCUAUUUAUCCAAAGGAAUGGUUAGAAAGCGAACAAAAACCAAAAAGUUUUAUCGAAUCAAAAACUAGUAAAAAUGUCAGGGUAAGGGGGAUUGGUUAUGCAAUGGGAAGGUUUUAAGCAUCCAAAACAUCCUAGGUACUCCUAGGGAGCCCUUUUCAUAAGUGUUGUUCUAGUCUAAAAGGUGUAGGUAUAUCUAAAGUACUAUUUACUAAAAGGAAGGUUAAAAGAAAAUAACUCGCAAGGAUGUCACAUCCACUGCCUUCGUAUCUCAUCUGAGUAUGACAAUCAGAGUCUUCGUAGCUCGGCUACCUAUGGGUUAAAGAGAAGUGUGCUCGGUAAGACGUCGCGUCUUAUGCCUACGUAUCUCAUCUGGAAUGAGAAUCAGAGCAAAAUGUAGUUUGACUAACUAGGGGUUAAGGAUUGCCAUCUGAACAUGGACUUACAAAAGAGGACACCAACUGUGUCAAAGGAGGGUGGGCAUUGUGUUCAACGUCCUAGCAGUAGGUGUCGCAGCUCGCUGAAUCGAGUCUUAGGCAGUUACCUCUUUGCAAUAGAACAGACUGACAUGCCACAAGAUCAGAGACGCAAGGAAGGUCUAAAAAUGGGGAAGCUCUGCUCUAGAGUUGUCAUGCAAUAUGGACCUAUGUGUUAAGAUUUACAAAGGGGAACAUCUACCUAAUGUUAGCAGGCAAAGAAUAAGGGAAUUCUACCUAUGUUAUCAUACAAAGGGUUCUACCUAAUGGGUGCUACCUAAACGGAACAAGAGUCGACGGAUGGAGCGCGGAGAGGAGUUACGGAUAAGGGUAGAUGGCGAUUGGCACAUGCUUAACAAAUCUUGAUUGACGGGCCAGCCAGGCAAGAAAUCUGCCUCUCUUAGAAAUUCAGUCAUGGUGGCCGCCCUUGAAAUGAUGUAUCUGCCUCAACCAUGAUCAAUGAGGGGAUGAUUCGCGAAAGGGAGUGUGGAGGGCUAAGUACACAUGGCCACACGGGUACCAAUUGUUAUGGAAUAAGAGUAUUUUCAAAUAAUGCGCUUGAAGUGAGAGAAAACUAGCCAAGAAGUCUUGAUAAUUUUGAAGAUUUUCGGAUUUAGGAAUUUUCUAAGUGUCUAAACUUUCAUUUGACUAAGCAUAACUUUCUCAAUUCAAUCCAAAUGGAGCAAGCUUUAUAUCUAUAGAAAGCUUUAGAACAAGAGCAACAACUUCCUGUUGGAGAAAUGUUCAAUUGCGAGCUUUUAUCUUGAUGCAAAAUGGGGCUUAAAGUGAGGCAACGAUCAUGAAAACUUCCUAAAUGGAAAGUCAACCAUUUUCCAAAUUAAAGUAACUUUUCCAAUCUGAUUAAAUGAUGAACAUGAUCCAACCUUGAUCAAAGAUUUACAUGUUAGGAUCCCCUAGACAUGAUUUUGAAUUCCACUCUCAAAUGUCGAGGAUAGUUGACUUUUCUGGGCCCCCACAGUUGGACUUUCCAACUGUCGAUUCUCCGAUUCCAUUGAUCAAUUGAAGCACUUCUAGCUCAAAUAAAGAGAUGAUUUUUUGUAUGUGACCUUGUGGCAUNNNNNNNNNNNNNNNNNNNNNNNNNGCCGGAGGAAUGCGACUUACAGGUAGAUGGCGAUGCCUGAGGCAAUCGACUUACAAGAGGAUGGAUGAAUCUGUGCUGGUUCUGUUACGUUUGAAAAUGAUUACUCGACGUUGGAUCAAGCUUUUGAACUUUAUUUGAAAUGGUUAUCGGAUGUUCGUUUAUUUUGUAUUAACAGGUGACUAAAGAAAUAAAGAAAUAAAUAUUAUACACUUUAUGGGAGAGGGGUGCAUUUGUUAUGAAUGGGGAUUGUUCAUGGCAAACAACAAUAAAGAAUAUAUGCCUCAUACAUCAUACAAGUAGACAACAGAUAUCAAUCAGUCGGAUAAAAAACAAUAUAUAAUCAAACAAAAGAAUCAAAUAAUGAGCAUUUAAACAAUGCAUGGGAGUAUGAACAUGUUAAAUAGUCAAGCAAUAGAAAGCAUGAAUGAGAGAAACAAGUAUAAAAGAUAACAGAUGAAAAUAUACACACGAAGGCGGUCACUGAAUAAUUUAAUCAGGAAAUGAGGUAAAGACCAAAUAAAAUCAAGGUAAAAGCCUCUAAUACAUGGCAUAUGAGAUGAACAAGGAGGAUUAAAAGAUCUCUUCAUUGCCAUAAGCAAUCCCUAAGUCAAACAUCGAUCAUAAAGAAGUCAAUUGAAAAUUCAAGUCAUUUAAAAAAUAACAAAUAAAUAGAAAAUAAUCAAGAAAAUUAUGAAAAAAUUAACUAAAUAAGGUGGGUCAGACAUCAUCAUCCCCAAAAUAUUUUAAAAAUAAUCAAAAAUUGGUACGUGAAUUAAUAAAAAUAAACAAAAGUCAAAUUAAAAGUCCACCAACCAAACUAGUGUUAAAAAUAAAUCCAAAUAAAUUGAAAAUAUGAAAUAAAUUCCAAAAAAUCAGGUUGACCAUGAGACAGUGGGUCAACCUUCAUCCAAAAAUCAAAUCUAACAAUAAUUUAAGGUCAUAAAUAAAUCAAUAAAAAAAGUGUGUAAAAUGCGACCAUUUAGAAUAAAUAAUUAAAAUAAAAUAUUAAUAUUAAAAAUACGAAAAUAAAAUUAUAUAAAAUUAAAUAAAACGUUAGAAAGUGAAAAAAUAUUUUGGCUAAUUUUGACGAAUAAAAAUAUUUUAAAUAAGAAAAAGAAAUACGAAAAUGGAAGGAUUAAUGGUGAUGAACAUGGUAAGCAAGCGUAGAUAUAUCAAAACAAAUGGCCAUGGAAGAGAUGAUUACCAUGGAAAAUAGAAGUGUAAAUGGAAUCUGAUAUGUGAUGAAUCUUUUCUCCUUGCCACGAAAUUCCAAUGCUCCUUUAGGGUUAGGGUUUCACUUCUUAAAUAGGGUGGAUUAGGUGUUCUCAUGGGCUUUUUAAUAAGUGAUUAUCCAUAAGAAUAAAAGUGUGAAGUGAGGUGUAAAAAUGUUGUUAUUUGGGCCAAAUUAAGUGAAUGGAUGUCCAAUGCAUGGCCAAAAGAGGUAAAAAACGUGACUGGUUUGUGCAGCAUGCUUAGAAAUCUGAUUGGGCCAGCCAGGGCCAAAAUCUGCCUAGAAAUCAAGUCAUGGUGCCCACUUUAAAUGAAUGUAAUCUCUCAAACCAUGGAUCAAAUGGAGGAUUUUGAUUCCAAAAUGUGAAAGAGUACAUGGCAAGGUACAAUUGUUAUGAAUAAAGUAUUUUCAAAUAAUGCCUUGAAGUGCAGAGAAAACUAGCCAAGAAGUCUUGAUAAUUUUGAAGAUUUUCGACUUUAGAAAUUUUCUAAGUGUCUAAAAAAUCUCACUUUGAUAAGCAUAACUUUCUCAAUUCUAAUCCAAAUGGAGCAAGCUUUAUAUCAUAGAAAGCUUAGAACAAGAGCAACAACUUCCUGUUGGAGAAAUGUUCAAUUGGAGCUUUUAUCUUGAUGCAAAAUGGGCUUAAAGUGAGUGCAACAUCAUGAAAACUUGCCUAUAUGGAAAGUCAACAUUUCAAAUUAAGUAACUUUUCCAAUCCUUGAUUAAAAUGAUGAAUCCUGAUCCAACCUUGAUCAAAUUUACAUGAGGAUCCCCUAGACAUGAUUUUGAGAUUCCACUCUCAAAAUGUCAGGAGUUGACUUUUCUGGCCCCCACAGUUGACUUUCAACUGUCUGAUUCCGCAUUCAUUGAUCAAUUGAAGCACUUCUAGCUCAAAUAAAGAGAUGAUUUUUUGUAUGUAACCUUGUGGACAUAUGGAGGGUAUGGAAAGAGUUUCACCCAAAGAAUCAGAAAUAAACUGCAUGUUUAUACCAAACCCUAGUUUUAGGGCAAAAUGAUCAGGAACUGAUUGCACUGAUGCAAUGGAUCUUUUUGAGAUGAUUGUAAUCUUCCCUAGGCCAAGAUGCCCUCUCAUCAUGACAUGGAUGGGUCCUCUACUUCCAACCAAAUAUUGCCUGUUGCAGGAUCAUGAAACCCUAAUUUCUGUAUUAAAUCCAGAUGAACACUGCUGAUAGCUUUUAAUCAUCACUGAUUGAACUGAGGACCAUAAUAAAUAACUUGGACCCCUGAGACCUUGAGACUUGUAUACUUAGAAAAUGAGAGUCCAUUUCAUUUUCUUUAUGUGGGCUCCUUUUUUUAAGAAGUGAUGAUCAAAACCUGAUCUCCAUGUCACUAAUGCCAAUAUGCAAUGAGUAUGACCUAAUAUGAUGCUAAUGAAGUGUAAAAUAAUCCAUGCUUCCAGGAAAAAUGAAGGGUAAAUUUUGGGGUUUACAUUGAGGAUACUCAAAUAAGCGCUAAAUAUGAUUAAAUUAUGAAUGAAAGAACUUCCCUUGAUUUUAUUGAUCACGGUUGAGGCUGUCUUCAUGAGCAAGGCACGAUGUGAUGCACAGAUGAGAUUAGGAUAUCCUUGGGAAACAAGCCUCAAACCUUUGGUUUGCUUUGAUAAAAAAUGAGAAUUGAGAUACUUGAGAGGCAUAUAUGAUGAUGAGAGCUUUGGGAACCAUUUCCAUGCUUGCUUCCAUUCUUUACCUGGCCAUCAUCACAUGAGCAUAGGGCCUCUAUGAGCCUUGGGUCUUGUGAUUGAUCAGCUAAAAAAAAGAUGUUAGUGACAUAUUUUUUAUGCUUUUGGUUAGUAAACAAAAUAAGAAAAACAAUGAUAACAAUUCAAGCGAUGCUUGUGAUCUCAAACAAACUCACAAGUGUUCCCGCCCAAAAGGUAGGAGCCAAGAUGCUAUUAUCCUUGAGGCAAGAUGCAAAUG
rnacentral:lncRNA from 1 species